rnacentral:lncRNA from 1 species
CAUGGUGCAAGCGUUUUUGUCACUGAAAACUUGAAGAGAUGAUAUUUUCUUCGGUACACUGGAGAGUUACAAGAAAGACGCCAUCUGCUUCGUCAAUAUUUUUUGGUUUAAAAUAGUCAAGAACCAUUCUCGGAACGCUCUAAAGUUUCAAUGGAGUUUCUCACUGAGAAGGACGAAGAUCAAUGAUAACAAGUACUAGAUUUCUUAAUCUGUACACUGGCGAUUCACAAGAACGAAGGCUGACUAAGCAGAGCAACCUCAACAUUUACCCUCCACAGUACUGGUAAAUCAUUUGUCCUUCACGUAUAUUAUGAAAACAAAAAAAAGUAAAUUGAUAUAAAAAAACUUACAGGUGGCAGAUCGUCAAAGAACUUCUAAGGAUAACUUCGAUGGAAACAAGCAAGGACUACAAAAAAUUGGUUAGUACAUAAAUAGGGUUUCAAUAUAUACUAUAAUUAAAAAAAAAAACCUAAUAUGAAGCACAAGACACUUUUCUAAAUGCACUUAUUCAAUUAAUCCUGUUGCAGGCUUUUUUUUUAAAAAAAACCUUGCAGGCUAUUUAUUCCGAUAGGUUGGAAAGUUUUAACAUGGUUUAGCAAUGCCCACA